rnacentral:sRNA from 4 species
UUAUAUUCUCCGCUGGGGGGGAUGAGAACCCCCGACCGGGGUUCGACAACUGGCAACGCCAGUUGGACAGACCGCGAGCCUGCGAGCGGGCUGCCCCGCAGGGGCGAGCGAAGCGAGUCAAUCCCCCCCUCACCGCCA